CAUGGAGGGUGAGAAUCCCGUUCGGUUGAUCAGGUCACUUUACGAUACGUCAUCAAAGAGUCAAGUUGUUUGGGAUUGCAGCUUAAAAUGGGAGGUAAAUUUCUCCUAAGGCUAAAUAACGGCGAGAGACCGAUAGCGAACAAGUACCGUGAGGGAAAGAUGAAAAGAACUUUGAAAAGAGAGUUAAACAGUACGUGAAAUUGUUGAAAGGGAAACGAUUAAAGCCAGUCGUACCGGCGGGUAAUCAGCCUUUUGGGUGUGAUUAUGUGGAACGUGAGGAGUUUAAUCGCCUUCAUGCCUGCAUAUUCGUGCACUUUGGGUGUACUUGCUCGUGUGGUAGGUUAACAUCAAUUUCGAUCAUCAUAAAAUGAUUGGGGGAAUGUAGCUUCGAUCUCGUGUUGAAGUGUUUAUAGACUCUGGUAGAUGUGAUGAUCGGGAUUGAGGAUUGCAACGGAUACCCUUCGGGGCUACCCGUCUGAUCUCUGAGAGUUACUCUGGUGCUGAAAGCGUGCUUACGGUUAUCAAAGUCGAUGGUCAAUAGGUUAGAACGGGUUAAAUUCGUUAAGGAUGUUGACGUAAUGG
rnacentral:rRNA from 1 species